GAUGAACGCUGGCGGCGUGCCUAAUACAUGCAAGUCGAGCGAACGGACGAGAAGCUUGCUUUUCUGAUGUUAGCGGCGGACGGGUGAGUAACACGUGGUUAACCUCCCUAUAAGCCUGGGUUAACUUCGGAAAACCGGACCUAAUACCGGAUAAUAUUUUGAACCGCAUGGUUCAAUAUUGAAAGACGGUUUUGCUAUCACUUUUAAAUGGAUCCGCGCCGCAUUAGCUAGUUGGUAAGGUAACGGCUUACCAAGGCAACGAUGCGUAGCCGACCUGAGAGGGUGAUCGGCCACACUGGAACUGAGACACGGUCCAGACUCCUACGGGAGGCAGCAGUAGGGAAUCUUCCGCAAUGGGCGAAAGCCUGACGGAGCAACGCCGCGUGAGUGAUGAAGGUCUUCGGAUCGUAAAACUCUGUUAUUAGGGAAGAACAAAUGUGUAAGUAACUAUGCACGUCUUGACGGUACCUAAUCAGAAAGCCACGGCUAACUACGUG
rnacentral:rRNA from 1 species